GACGUAGGGCGCAAGCGUUGUCCGGAUUUAUUGGGCGUAAAGAGCGUGUAGGCGGCCAGAUAGGUCCGUUGUGAAAACUCGAGGCUCAACCUCGAGACGCCGAUGGAAACCAUCUGGCUAGAGUCCGGAAGAGGAGAGUGGAAUUCCUGGUGUAGCGGUGAAAUGCGCAGAUAUCAGGAAGAACACCCGUGGCGAAGGCGGCU
rnacentral:rRNA from 1 species